UGCAGUCGANCGCAGUAGCAAUACUGAGUGGCAGACGGGUGAGUAUAAUGUGGGAAUCUGCCUUUUGGUUCGGAAUAACUCGGGGAAACUUGAGCUAAUACCGGAUAAGCCCUUACGGGGAAAGAUUUAUCGCCGAAAGAUGAGCCCGCACUUGAUUAGCUAGUUGGUGAGGUAAUUGCUCACCAAGGCAACAAUCAAUAGCUGUUCUUAGAGGAAGACCAGCCACAUUGGGACUGAGACACGGCCCAGACUCCUACGGGAGGCAGCAGUGGGGAAUCUUGCACAAUGGGGGAAACCCUGAUGCAGCGAUGCCGCGUGAGUGUAGAAGGCCUUUGGGUUGUAAAACUCUUUCGUCGGGGAAGAAAAUGACUGUACCCGAAUAAGAAGGUCCGGCUAACUUCGUGCCAGCAGCCGCGGUAAUACGAAGGGACCUAGCGUAGUUCNNNNNNNNNGGGCUUAAAGAGCUCGUAGGUGGUUAAAAAAGUUGGUGGUGAAAUCCCAAGGCUUAACCUUGGAACUGCCAUCAAAACUUUUUAGCUUGAGUGUGAUAGAGGAAAGUGGAAUUUCUAGUGUAGAGGUGAAAUUCGUAGAUAUUAGAAAGAACACCAAAUGCGAAGGCAACUUUCUGGAUCAUUACUGACACUGAGGAGCGAAAGCAUGGGUAGCGAAGAGGAUUAGAUACCCUCGUAGUCCAUGCUGUAAACGAUGUGUGCUAGACGUUGGAAAUUUUAUUUUCAGUGUCGCAGCAAAAGCGUUAAGCACACCGCCUGGGGAGUACGACCGCAAGGUUAAAACUCAAAUGAAUUGACGGGGANCCGCACAAGCAGUGGANCAUGUGGUUUAAUUCGAAGAUNCGCGCANAANCNUUACCNAC
rnacentral:rRNA from 1 species